AAGUUGAAAAGCACUUUGAAAAGAGAGUGCAAGAGAACGUGAAACCGACAUAAUGGAAACGGAUGGAGCCGACGUAUCGUGCAUGUAUUCAAUUGCACAGCGUUGUAAGUUGUCGUUUUGGUAUUCCGCAAGGUUAUCGGAUGGCAACAUUGCCGCGUUUGUGUAGUGCAUUUGCAUGCAGAGUGCGCCGAGUGGGUUGGUUUCGCCAUUGGAAGCUUUUAUAGAGGACCAGACCUUUGGGUUUGGAACCCUGUGCUGGCGGAUAAUGGAUGCGGCUGACUUUUGUCUAUUGAUGCUGGUGAAUUCGCGGUCUGGGCUAGUGACUGUGUCGACUCGUGGGUGACGCAUGCGUUGCUCGCUUGUUCGGUAUGGCCAUUGUUCCUUACUGCCCCGCAUCAAACUCGGUGUUCAGUCGGUCACCCAUUUGACCCGUCUUGAAACACGGACCAAGGAGUUUAAGGUGUACGCAAGUCAUUGGGAGUCUUGAAACCCAAAGGCGUAAUGAAAGUGAGACAUUUAGUGUCUGUGAUGUGAACGGUUGUCGUUUCGACGGUGACUGUGCAACAUCGCCCUAUGCCUGGGACUUGUCCUGGCGUGGAGGUUGAGCGUACGCUUUGAGACCCGAAAGAUGGUGAACUAUGCCCGAACAGGAUGAAGCCAGAGGAAACUCUGGUGGAAGUCCGAAGCGGUUCUGACGUGCAAAUCGAUCGUCUGAUUUGGGUAUA
rnacentral:rRNA from 1 species